rnacentral:rRNA from 1 species
UCCUUGACCCAAAAACAAAAGUCUUGGUCCUGAACCUAAUGUUGCCCCCUCCCAAAGUUAUACAUGCAAGUCUCAGCCUAACAGUGAGUCGCCCACACGAUCACCACGAACAAGUGGAGCCGGCAUCAGACACUAGGAUUGCUCCUAAUCUACAACGCCCAGAGCCCCAAACCACACCUACACAGGUAUUCAGCAGUAACUAACAUUAGGCCAUAAACGAAAGUUCGACCUAGUUAUGGGAAAGUAAAGCCGGUAAAACUCGUGCCAGCUACCGCGGUUAUACGAGGGGCUUAAGACAACAUUCAACGGCGUAAAGGUGGCCAAAAAGUAUCAAAAAAAUUAAGGAUAAAACCCCACUGGCUGUCCAACGCCAAGAUCAAAGGAAAAACAGCACCUUAACAUCACACGACUCUUCCAACCAUUAAAGCUGGGGGACAAACUAGGAUUAGAUACCCUACUAUGCCCAGCCGUAAAAAGGCAGCAUCAAACAUUAACUGCCCGCCCGAUUAGUACGAGCGAAAGCUUAAAACUCAAAGGACCUGACGGUGGCCCACAUCCUCCUAGAGGAGCCUGUUUCAUAAUCGAUAACCCACGUUUAACCUCACCACUUCUAGCCAAUCAGCCUAUCUACCGCCGUCGUCAGCCCACCCUGUGAAGGCACCAAAGUGAGCACAAUAGUUCAUACACUAAAACGACAGGUCAAAGCGUAGCACAUGAAGUGGAGAAAAAUGGGCUACAUUUUCUACAAAGAACACACGGAAGGACGAAAUGAAAACAACGCCUGAAGGCGGAUUUAGCAGUAAGACCGGAUAGAAUACCCAUCUGAACAAAUGCACUGGGACGCGUACACACCGCCCGUCACCCCCAUCCUAACAAAACACUUCACUUUCUAAACUGAAAAAUCAACUAAAGAUGGGGUAAGUCGUAACAUGGUAAGCGUACUGGAAAGUGCGCUUGAACA